GAUGAAGAACGUAGCGAAAUGCGAUAAGUAAUGUGAAUUGCAGAAUUCAGUGAAUCAUCGAAUCUUUGAACGCACCUUGCGCUCCUUGGUAUUCCAAGGAGCAUGCCUGUUUGAGUAUCAUUAAAUUAUCAACUGUGCCAAUUUGGUUACAGAUUGGAUGUGGGAGAUUCUUUUUGCAGGCCUUUGACUUCUCUUUGAGAAAAAAAAUAAAAGGUCGGCUCUCCUGAAAUGUAUUAGCAGUGCCUUUGUUGGUUCAUUAGGUGUGAUAAAUUGUCUACUUCUUCGCAUGAUACCUUCAUUUGUAAAGGUCAUAUUGCUUCUAAAUUGUCUUUGAUUGGACGCAAAACAUAUAUAAUGUUUGACAAACUUGAUCUCAAAUCAGGCAGGACUACCCGCUGAACUUAAGCAUAUCAAUAAGCGGAGGA
rnacentral:misc_RNA from 1 species